AUGAUUGCUCUUAUCGGUAUGGCUCCUACCGAGGAGGAGGGAGAAGAGAAGAAGAAGAGGGAAAGGAAGGCAGCCGGAGCUGCUUUCACGUGGAUUCAAAAUAACUUUGCGACGUGCCCUCCGGAUGCAACUGAUGAUGUGAUCCAGACACAUGCUCGUGUGUAUAUGUGGUACAUUGUGUCGAGGACUUUGUUUCCUGACUCCACUGGCAAGAACGCUCCAUGGAUGUGGCUGAAGGCGUUGACCGUCUUCGAUAGCAAAUGGAGCUGGGGUUCAACGACUCUUGCCUACUUGUACCGACAGGUAGUUGGUCUGUUUUGUGAUCAACUCAUUUAUUCAUUAGCAAUGCAAGCUUGCUGUCAAGUUAACAUUGUUUUUCUUUCAUAUGUAGCUGGAUGA
rnacentral:rRNA from 1 species